UUCAAUACCCUCUCUUCUUUCCCACGUGAGAUGUAGCUUUUCUUUUGAACCUACUUUGAAUUUUCAAACCUUCACAAAACAAGCUUUACUUUUUUCAUGCUUUUUUCACAACUUCCCACGUGGGUUCGUGAUUUUCAGGAAGCUUUAUCCACCCUCUCUUUCUUUUAUGCGGUUUUGAGACCUACAAAUCCAACAAAAACUUUUAUGCGGCUUUAUUCCUCCCUGGCGAAAUGGGUUUUUUAAGAGUCCCCAUUUUUCUUGGCUCUCAUACAGGGUAAUUUUCCUCCAGAAGCAACUGAUAUCCUUGGGUACCCGUCAUAUUUCAAAUUUCUAUUUGGAUUGGGUAACCGUGGAUUUCUCAGUGAGGAUGGAUAAGGUCCACGAAGGCUUUCACUUUUCCUUUGCUGUAUUGCUCUUUUGCUUUUGCCACUUCACUUGUGUUUCUUUUUGUGAAUCGAGAACUCAAAACGAAGAGAGCAGUGGGAGCGAAGUAAAGGCUUCUCUUCUAUUUGGUUGUUGGACAUACUAUUUUACGGCACCAAGUUCUUUGAAAGCAAGUGUUGAUUCAUGGCUCCAAAGGUGAGGAUUGCACUCUAAAACUUGUAGGGCGCCCUCAUAAUAUUUGUUGUAUUUGUGUGCUGCCUUCUAUGUUUAAUUGGAAUAGAAUUAUACUUUUCCAUUUGUAUGUUUGGCGAGUGGCUUUACAAACAACCGUGCUCAUGAUAAUUUUGUCCUGCUUGUUUGUACUUGUGUAAAUUGAUUUGCAUAUCAGGUCUUUGGGUGUUAAUACAUAGGUUGCCCUAUGAAUGAGUUUCCCAAUUAAUUUUGGGAGGUUUUGACAUCAAGCUUUAAACUCUUUUUUUUCACAUUCAGAUGGCAGAGAAGCAAGUGAAACUUUUUGACACAAUGAAAGUUUUGUCCCAUCUUCACGUGGCAAAGAAGGUUGCUUGUCCAUUUAAAGAUUGGGAAAUUUUCCCUUUCUUUCCUUGUCUUGUAGCAUUUCAAUGUCUUUCUUUGGUCAAAGCUUUGACACAAUGUUUAAUCAAAACUUUGACACAAUUGUAGCAUUUCAAGGCUUUGAACCUUCUCCUUCCUUCUUUGUCUUUAUGAAAGUUGUGUUGGGGACUUUUCUUUUGUCA